rnacentral:rRNA from 1 species
UACGUAGGGUGCAAGCGUUAAUCGGAAUUACUGGGCGUAAAGCGUGCGCAGGCGGUCCGCUAAGACAGAUGUGAAAUCCCCGGGCUUAACCUGGGAACUGCAUUUGUGACUGGCGAGCUAGAGUAUGGCAGAGGGGGGUAGAAUUCCACGUGUAGCAGUGAAAUGCGUAGAGAUGUGGAGGAAUACCGAUGGCGAAGGCAGCCACCUGGGCCAAUACUGACGCUCAUGCACGAAAGCGUGGGGGAGCAAACAGGAUCAGAUACCCUGGUAGUCCACGCCCUAAACGAUGUCAACUAGUUGUCGGGUCUUCAUUGACUUGGUAACGUAGCUAACGCGUGAAGUUGACCGCCUGGGGAGUACGGUCGCAAGAUUAAAACUCAA